ACACCUCAACUCUCAUGGGUUUGCCAUGAUGAGCUUGGACUUUGGGGGUCUUGCUGGCCUGUGGUCGGCUCCUCUCAAAUGAAUCAGCUUUCCAGUGUUUGGUGGCAUCACGGGUGUGAUAAAUAUCUACGCUUGUGGUUUCCUGCCAGGUAACCUUCAGUGAUGGAGGUUCACUGGGGCUCAUAAAUGUCUCUCCUCAGCGAAGACAGCUUUGUGAAU
rnacentral:misc_RNA from 1 species